UGGGGAAUAUUGCACAAUGGGCGCAAGCCUGAUGCAGCCAUGCCGCGUGUAUGAAGAAGGCCUUCGGGUUGUAAAGUACUUUCAGUCGGGAGGAAGGUGGUAAGGUUAAUAACCUUGGCAAUUGACGUUACCGACAGAGGAAGCACCGGCUAACUCCGUGCCAGCAGCCGCGGUAAUACGGAGGGUGCAAGCGUUAAUCGGAAUUACUGGGCGUGAAGCGCACGCAGGCGGUUGAUUGAGUCAGAUGUGAAAUCCCCGGGCUUAACCCGGGAAUUGCAUCUGAUACUGGUCAGCUAGAGUCUUGUAGAGGGGGGUAGAAUUCCAUGUGUAGCGGUGAAAUGCGUAGAGAUGUGGGGGAAUACCGGUGGCGAAGGCGGCCCCCUGGACAAAGACUGACGCUCAGGUGCGAAAGCGUGGGGAGCAAACAGG
rnacentral:rRNA from 1 species